rnacentral:rRNA from 1 species
AUGGUUAAGUGACUAAGCGUACACGGUGGAUGCCUUGGCAGUCAGAGGCGAUGAAGGACGUAUUAACUUGCGAUAAGCCCAGAUUAGGUAGUAAAAACCAUUUGAGUCUGGGAUUUCCGAAUGGGGAAACCCAAUACCAUAAGGUAUUACUGUUGAGUGAAUACAUAGCUCAACAGGGCGAACCGGGGGAACUGAAACAUCUAAGUACCCCGAGGAAAAGAAAUCAACCGAGAUUCCGAAAGUAGCGGCGAGCGAAAUUGGACUAGCCCUUAAGCUUUACACGCGUUAGACGAACAGCCUGGAAGGCCGACGAUACACGGUGAUAGUCCCGUAGUUGACGACGUGUGUUCAGU